rnacentral:rRNA from 1 species
GCGAAGCCGGAGGGUCACCGACGGUGGACUGCUGGGGAGCGAGAAUGCUGGCAUGAGUAGCGAGAGACGAGAGAGUAACUCGUCCGCCGUGAACCCGAGGUUUCCUGGGCAAGGCUAAUCCUCCCAGGGUCAGUCGGGGGCUAAGGCGAGGCCGGGAGGCGUAGCCGACGCGCAGCAGGCAGACAUUCCUGCACCGCGCACGCGGCGCUACGACCGACGGGGCGACGGAUGGGGGUGGCUCGGCGGGGUUCUGGACGUCCCCGUGAUGGAGCGCGGCCCGCGGACCAGGGAAAUCCGGUCCGCAUCGAGGGCGAGGCUCCGGACGAAGCGACUGAGCGAAGCGAGUGAGCCCGAGGUCCCUAGAAAAACCCCUAGGCAGGCGCGUGCGCGCCCGUACCGCAAACCGACACAGGUGGGUGGGUAGAACAUACCGAGGCGAUCGGGUCAACCAUGGUCAAGGAACUCGGCACAAUGGCCCCGUAACUUCGGGAGAAGGGGUGCCCGCGCGUACGUGAACGGACUUGCUCCGGGAGCGGAGGCGGGCCGCAGUGGAGAGGCCCAAGCGACUGUUUACCAAAAACACAGGACUCUGCAGAAGCCGCAAGGCGACGUAUAGGGUCUGACGCCUGCCCGGUGCCGGAAGGUUACGCGGAUGCGUUAGCAGCGAUGCGAAGCGCUGAAGCCAAGCCCCGGUAAACGGCGGCCGUAACUAUAACGGUCCUAAGGUAGCGAAAUUCCUUGUCGGGUAAGUUCCGACCUGCACGAAUGGCGUAACGACUUCCCCACUGUCUCGACCAGGAGCUCGGCGAAAUUGCAGUACGAGUAAAGAUGCUCGUUAAGCGCAGAAGGACGAAAAGACCCCGGGACCUUUACUAUACCUUGGUAUUGGCGUUAGGCGCGGAUUGUGUAGCAUAGGCGGGAGGCUUCGAAGCGGGUGCGCCAGCAUUCGUGGAGCCGCAAGGUGAAAUACCGCUCUGUUCUCGUUUGACGUCUAACCUCGACAAGUCAUCCUUGUCAGGGACAGUGCCUGGCGGGUAGUUCAACUGGGGCGGUUGCCUCCCAAAGAGUAACGGAGGCGCUCAAAGGUCCGCUCAGCCCGGUUGGCAAUCGGGUGUCGAGUGUAAUCGCACAAGCGGGCUUGACUGCGAGGACGACGGUCCGAGCAGGGACGAAAGUCGGAGAUAGUGAUCCGGUGCCGGCGCACGGGCGCGGCAUCGCUCAACGGAUAAAAGGUACCCCGGGGAUAACAGGCUGAUCAUUCCCAAGAGUCCAUAUCGACGGGAUGGUUUGGCACCUCGAUGUCGGCUCGUCGCAUCCUGGGGCUGGAGCAGGUCCCAAGGGUUCGGCUGUUCGCCGAUUAAAG